GCCGCCCCAGCCCCAGUUUGUAGCGCUGCGGGAAGAGGCCAGGCUGGUUACCUUUCCUUCGUUAAAUCCGUUUCCGUUUUCUUCUCCGUUAGGAGUGACUGGGUGAGCUUUGGCUUAUUAAGCACCCGGCUUCAAACCGCGACCGCCCCAGAGAGAUCUCACAUCAUUUCAGACUAACGGAGGCAGGAAAAGAAGAUAUCAGAAGUAAAUACUGGGUUUUCCAUCUACUUUAUUAGUUUACGAAUGAAAAGCAGCAGGGCCACAGACAGUCCAAGGGCAGCCCCUUUUCAAGAACAUCUGACUCCCUCCGGUUUCCCCUGGCUCACAACAAACUGUAGCCCUGCAUUCUGCCUGCAUGAGAAGAAAUCACAAAUGGAUAAAGGUUGGAGAGUUGCUUAAGACAAGAGGUCAGUAGUCGAGGACAAUUAUCCUGACUCAAUCUGUUAACAAUACAGUUAACACGAGCUUUGAGAAGAAAAGCAUCAUAGUUUUGAAG